rnacentral:tRNA from 1 species
GGAGGAGUCGCAUAGUUGGUCCAGUGCACAGGUUUGCUAAACCUGCGAGCCGAGAGGCUCACGUGGGUUCGAAUCCCACCUCCUCCG